rnacentral:snRNA from 1 species
GUGCGCAGUGUACAUAUACUAAAAUUAUAUCGAUACAGAGAAUAUUAGCUUGGCCCCUGCGCAAGGAUGGCACAUAAAAUCGUGAAGCGUUCCACAUACCC